AAUUAACCUAAUCCUAGGGCAAUUUAGAACCUCAAUAUCUAUCGAUUGUACCUUUGAUCAUGCUUAAGAUUUUACACAUCUCUCAAAAACUAUAUUGGAAACAAGCACAUAAAAUUUGAAGAAGAUCGAACUUACCAAAUAGAAGAUCAAUCCUAAAUUCUAUUCAAGUAUUGACUGGCCUUCUACUCCAAUCUAAAUGUUGAACUUCUAGUACCAAUAUCUCCUUCUUGAAUUGUUGAAUUGCUCCUAAAAUUCACUUAAAUUGUUGGAAAUCAAGUCUAGUUUCUACUCAAAGAAAAUUCACUUCAAUCCAAUCAAAAAAUUGCUAAAGAUCUUAAAAAUACUUACUGUCCUUCAAACUCUAAUUUUUGAAACCUCAACCUAUAAAAAUCUUUACACACUUCAAUCUAACCAUUCGAUUGACCUCAAAAUUUGCACAC
rnacentral:lncRNA from 1 species